UAAUUGUGGUAAAAUUAAACUUUAUUUUUUAUAUUUUUCUUUUUUUGGUAGAAUGAGAAAGGUUUUAUAUUUUUUUGUUUAAUUUGUAAGAUUUAAUAAGCGAACCAGAUUAGUACCUGGUUAGAUAAAAUUUAAAAGUGCAGGAGUAAAGUUAUAUUUAAACUGUAAAGAUAUUGGCAGGUCUCUUAAAUUAUCUUUGGAGGUUGGGUAAUAAUUGAGAACCCUCAUUUUCAGCUUUUUUUUUUGGCGCAUGUAUGAUCGUUUAUUUUAUUCUUAAAGAUUGUAAUUAGAAAUAAUUCUUUAAAAAAAUAGAUAAAUACCUGGUUUAUAAAAAAGUUUUAAUCUGACCUACAAUAUUUUAUAUUUUGGAUUUAUUUUUUUGAGAAUUUAAUGAAAUUGUAAAAGACAGUAAAUUAAUUUUAAUAUUUAAUUGAAGUUUAUCUAGAGACGGUACAAAUCAU
rnacentral:rRNA from 1 species